rnacentral:rRNA from 1 species
AUACGUAGGGUGCAAGCGUUAAUCGGAAUUACUGGGCGUAAAGCGUGCGCAGGCGGUUUUGUAAGACAGUGGUGAAAUCCCCGGGCUCAACCUGGGAACUGCCAUUGUGACUGCAAGGCUGGAGGGCGGCAGAGGGGGAUGGAAUUCCGCGUGGAGCAGUGAAAUGCGUAGAUAUGCGGAGGAAAACCGAUGGCGAAGGCAAUCCCCUGGGCCUGCACUUACGCUCAUGCACGAAAGCGUUGGGAGCAAACAGGAUUAAAUACCCUGGUAGUCCACGCCCUAAACGAUGUCAACUGGUUGUUGGGGAUUUAUUUUCUCAGUAACGAAGCUAACGCGUGAAGUUGACCGCCUGGGGAGUACGGCCGCAAGGUUAAAACUCAAAGGAAUUGACGGGG